rnacentral:tRNA from 1 species
GCGGGAAUAGCUCAGCUGGUAGAGCAGCAGCUUCCCAAGCUGCGGGUCGAGAGUUCGAACCUCUUUUCCCGCU